rnacentral:misc_RNA from 1 species
GCGGCUGGAUCCCCUCCUUUCUAAGGAAGCAUCGAUGACCGAGGCGCUUUUCGCUAUUUAGUUUUGAGGGAUUAAAGGUGGACGGGCCGCGCGUUCUUGGUGGAAACCAAGGUCGCGCGCGCCGGGUUUGGGGAGAACGGCUCCUGGACCGAACGCGAAACUCAAGCAUGGGCCUAUAGCUCAGUUGCGGUUAGAGCGCACGCCUGAUAAGCGUGAGGUCGGAAGUUCAAUUCUUCCUAGGCCCACCAUCUGAUUGCGGGGGUGUAGCUCAGCUGGGAGAGCGCCUGCCUUGCAAGCAGGAGGUCAUCGGUUCGAUCCCGUUCACCUCCACGCCGGUUUGAGUUCAACGGCGCGGGGCCUUGUAAGAAGGCUUCGGGCUCUUGGUCUUAAGCGACCGGGGAUUGAUCUUUGACAACUGAAUAUGGGUUUAUCGAGUUUGAGCCGAGAGGCAGUUUUGCUGGUUAAGCUAGUAAGGGCGAACGGCGGAUGCCUUGGCGCUGAGAGGCGAUGAAGGACGCGGUUAGCUGCGAUAAGCCUCGGGGAGCCGCUAAACAGGUUUCGAUCCGAGGAUUU